rnacentral:rRNA from 1 species
UACGUAGGGUGCAAGCGUUGUCCGGAAUUAUUGGGCGUAAAGGGCGUGUAGGCGGUCCGCUAAGUCUGAUGUGAAAGCCCGGGGCUCACCCCCGGAAGGGCAUUGGAAACUGGCGGACUCGAGUCCCGGAGAGGAAGGUGGAAUUCCUGGUGUAGCGGUGAAAUGCGUAGAUAUCAGGAGGAAUACCAGUGGCGAAGGCGGCCGUCUGGACGGUGACUGACGCUGAGACGCGAAAGCGUGGGGAGCAAACAGG